AAUUUAGAAAUUGAUUUAUUUAAUUAGGAAACUUUCGUUUUUUUUUUUUUUUAAACUAAUACUCAGUUAACCAGGAUAUAGUAACAUUAUGAAAGAAAACAAGGAUAACAUCAACUUAUAAACCAGCAGCAGCAGCAAUUCUUCGUGUAAUUGUCCAACGUGUUCAAUAUGACAGAUGAUAUUCUUCAAUAAACCAUUUAAAAAAUAAGAA